GCACUGAAACGUACAUUUGAAGGAGGAUUUAGCAGUAAGCAGGAAAUAGAGCGUCCCGCUGAAACUGGCCCUGAAGCGCGCACACACCGCCCGUCACUCUCCCCAAAAACACCAGUCAAUUAACUAAAACCUAAUAAUUAAAGAGGGGAGGCAAGUCGUAACAUGGUAAGUGUACCGGAAGGUGCACUUGGAAAAAUC
rnacentral:rRNA from 1 species